rnacentral:tRNA from 1 species
AAAGGGAGACCUAAUUCGGGUAGAAGACGAAAAAAUAGUAGUCGAAACCAAGAAUCAAUCCCAAAAGGUCGGAACGAGGUAUGUGGCUUUCAAACUAGGUUCUGGGUUCACAAAAGACCUGAAUCAGGAACAAGGGCUAUUAGCUCAGGUGGUUAGAGCGCACCCCUGAUAAGGGUGAGGUCCCUGGUUCGAGUCCAGGAUGGCCCACCUGUACAGGUGGCAAAAAGAAAGAAAAGAAGCGAGGAAUCAGCACCUUAUCUUACUUAUAUAGUAAGAGAGAAUGCUGGCUCUGAGUUCAGAGUCCAGAGGAACCUUGAAAACUGCAUAGAGCUAGGUGAAAAAGCCAAAAAAGAAGACCGCAAG